rnacentral:rRNA from 1 species
AUUGAACGCUGGCGGCAGGCCUAACACAUGCAAGUCGAACGAGUGGCGGACGGGUGAGUAUUGUCUGGGAAACUGCCCGAUGGAGGGGGAUAACUACUGGAAACGGUAGCUACUACCGCAUACCAUCGGAUGUGCCCAGAUGGGGUUAGCUUGUAGGUGAGGUAAAGGCUCACCUAGGCGACGAUCCCUAGCUGGUCUGAGAGGAUGACCAGCCACACGGGAACUGGGAAACGGUCCGGACUCCCACGGGGGGCAGCAGUGGGGAAUAUUGGACAAUGGGGGCAAGCCUGAUGCACGCAUGCCGCGGGUGUGAAGAAGGCUUGCGGGUUGUAAAGUACUUUCAGCGUGGUGGCGUUACCCGCAGAAGAAGCACCGGCUAACUCCGUGCCAGCAGCCGCGGUAAUUC